rnacentral:rRNA from 1 species
CGAAGGGGCGUAGCGUUGCUCGGAAUGACUGGGCGUAAAGGGCGCGUAGGCGGAUCGGACAGUCGGGCGUGAAAUUCCUGGGCUCAACCUGGGGACUGCGUUCGAGACGUUGGGUCUAGAGUGGGGGAAGAGGGUCGUGGAAUUCCCAGUGUAGAGGUGAAAUUCGUAGAUAUUGGGAAGAACACCGGUGGCGAAGGCGGCGACCUGGUCCUUGACUGACGCUGAGGCGCGAAAGCGUGGGGAGCAAACAGGAUU